GAUGAACGCUGGCGGCGUGCCUAAUACAUGCAAGUCGAGCGAACAGACGAGGAGCUUGCUCCUCUGACGUUAGCGGCGGACGGGUGAGUAACACGUGGAUAACCUACCUAUAAGACUGGGAUAACUUCGGGAAACCGGAGCUAGUACCGGAUAAUAUAUUGAACCGCAUGGUUCAAUGGUGAAAGACGGUUUUGCUGACACUUAUAGAUGUUUCCGCGCCGCAUUAGCUAGUUGGUAAGGUAACGGCUUACCAAGGCAACGAUGCGUAGCUGACCUGAGAGGGUGAUCAGCCACACUGGAACUGAGACACGGUCCAGACUCCUACGGGAGGCAGCAGUAGGGAAUCUUCCGCAAUGGGCGAAAGCUUGACGGAGCAACGCCGCGUGAGUGAUGAAGGUCUUCGGAUCGUAAAACUCUGUUAUUAGGGAAGAACAAAUGUGUAAGUAACUAUGCACGUCUUGACGGUACCUAAACAGAAAGCCACGGCUAACUACGUG
rnacentral:rRNA from 1 species